AUUGAACGCUGGCGGCAGGCCUAACACAUGCAAGUCGGACGGUAGCACAGAGAGCUUGCUCUCGGGUGACGAGUGGCGGACGGGUGAGUAAUGUCUGGGGAUCUGCCCGAUAGAGGGGGAUAACCACUGGAAACGGUGGCUAAUACCGCAUAACGUCGCAAGACCAAAGAGGGGGACCUUCGGGCCUCUCACUAUCGGAUGAACCCAGAUGGGAUUAGCUAGUAGGCGGGGUAAUGGCCCACCUAGGCGACGAUCCCUAGCUGGUCUGAGAGGAUGACCAGGCACACUGGAACUGAGACACGGUCCAGACUCCUACGGGAGGCAGCAGUGGGGAAUAUUGCACAAUGGGCGCAAGCCUGAUGCAGCCAUGCCGCGUGUAUGAAGAAGGCCUUCGGGUUGUAAAGUACUUUCAGCGGGGAGGAAGGCGGUGCGGUUAAUAACCGCGCCGAUUGACGUUACCCGCAGAAGAAGCACCGGCUAACUCCGUGCCAGCAGCCGCCGUAA
rnacentral:rRNA from 1 species